UACAGAGGUCCCAAGCGUUGUUCGGAUUCACUGGGCGUAAAGGGUGCGUAGGUGGUGAGGUAAGUCGGAUGUGAAAUCUCCAAGCUCAACUUGGAAACUGCAUUGGAAACUACCUUGCUAGAGGAUUUGAGGGGGGAUUGGAAUACUUGGUGUAGCAGUGAAAUGCGUAGAUAUCAAGUGGAACACCAGUGGCGAAGGCGAAUCCCUGGAAAUACCUGACACUGAGGCACGAAAGCUAGGGAGCAAACAGG
rnacentral:rRNA from 1 species